GUGGGGAAUUUUGGACAAUGGGCGCAAGCCUGAUCCAGCAAUGCCGCGUGCAGGAAGAAGGCCUUCGGGUUGUAAACUGCUUUUGUACGGAACGAAACGGUCCUGGCUAAUAUCCGGGGCUAAUGACGGUACCGUAAGAAUAAGCACCGGCUAACUACGUGCCAGCAGCCGCGGUAAUACGUAGGGUGCGAGCGUUAAUCGGAAUUACUGGGCGUAAAGCGUGCGCAGGCGGUGCUGUAAGACAGGCGUGAAAUCCCCGGGCUCAACCUGGGAAUUGCGCUUGUGACUGCAGUGCUGGAGUGCGGCGGAGGGGGAUGGAAUUCCGCGUGUAGCAGUGAAAUGCGUAGAUAUGCGGAGGAACACCGAUGGCGAAGGCAAUCCCCUGGGCCUGCACUGACGCUCAUGCACGAAAGCGUGGGGAGCAAACAGGAUUAGAAACCCCAGUAGUCC
rnacentral:rRNA from 1 species